rnacentral:rRNA from 1 species
AGUGAACGCUGGCGGUAGGCCUAACACAUGCAAGUCGAACGGCAGCACAGGAGAGCUUGCUCUCUGGGUGGCGAGUGGCGGACGGGUGAGGAAUACAUCGGAAUCUACUUUUUCGUGGGGGAUAACGUAGGGAAACUUACGCUAAUACCGCAUACGACCUACGGGUGAAAGCAGGGGAUCUUCGGACCUUGCGCGACUGAAUGAGCCGAUGUCGGAUUAGCUAGUGGGCGGGGUAAAGGCCCACCAAGGCGACGAUCCGUAGCUGGUCUGAGAGGAUGAUCAGCCAGAAUGGAAAGGAGACACGAGCCAGACUCCUGCGGGAGUCAGCAGUGGGGAAUAUUGGACAAUGGGCGCAAGCCUGAUCCAGCCAUACCGCGUGGGUGAAGAAGGCCUUCGGGUUGUAAAGCCCUUUUGUUGGGAAAGAAAUCCAGCUGGCUAAUACCCGGUUGGGAUGACGGUACCCAAAGAAUAAGCACCGGCUAACUUCGUGCCAGCAGCCGCGGUAA